GUACCUCAGAGUCCGUUCAUUUCGAUUUGAGCGGCACUGCUUUUGGAGCCAUGGCGAUUUCUGGCCAGGCUGAUCAACUGCGUAAUGCCGGAGUUUUGCAGAUUCAAUAUAAAAGGGUUCAGUGCAACUAUCCUGGCAGGAAUUUGGCCUUUCACGUUGAUUCUGGAUCAAACCCCUAUUAUUUUGCAACCUUAGUGGAGUACGAAGACGGAGACGGUGACCUUGCUUCAGUUGAAUUAAAACAGGCGUUAGACACAGACUCAUGGAUUGAGAUGCAACAAUCCUGGGGUGCAGUUUGGAAACUCAACUACGGCUCUGUUCUUCGUGCCCCAUUGUCUCUCCGGCUAACCUCGCUCAAGUCCGGGCAGGCCAUUGUAGCAAGUGACGCAAUUUCUGCUGGUUGGCAGCCGGGAAAAACCUAUCGAUCAGUCGUCAAUUUCUAGUAUUAUCACAUGAUAUGAUAUGAUAUAAUUAUUAGCAUAUGUAUUUCCAUGGAGCAGACUUGUUCAAAUAAGAGUCCACAUGGAAACUCUUGUAAGGCUUUUUAAUAAUAUUGGAAAAACUUAGUUAGUACUUCCAU
rnacentral:misc_RNA from 1 species